rnacentral:rRNA from 1 species
CCUUGUACACACCGCCCGUCACACCAUGGGAGUGGGUUGCUCCAGGAGUAGCUAGUCUAACCUUCGGGGGGACGGUUACCACGGAGUGAUUCAUGACUGGGGUG